GACGACGACGACAAAGACGACAAAGACGUGGACGAAAACAACGACAACGACAAAGCCAAAGACAAAAACAAAGACAAGAACGUAUUCCUCGAGUCGACGUAUUAUCAUCCAGUCUAUCUGGACGCCCUCUUGACAAGUUUACCAAUGUGAAGAGAGUGAAACGUGCUGGAAGAAAGAAGAAAAUAAGAGGAUGAAGAGAAACAUAACAGAAGGAUAGAAAAUAUAUCAAGAAUAAGAUGUUUAACAAAAAUUGAAACUUUUCAAAUAUAUAAGACUAAUAAUUUGUUCAAUUUUUCUCCUGCGAUAAAAGUUUCGAAUCUUCUUUAGAUCUUACGCACACACAAAGGGACACACAGAUAUCCACCGAUCACGGUUGACGAAAGAUAAAAUAUAAAUCAAAGAGGACACCGAGAAAUCGCAGGACCAACCCUGAAGAUGUUGACUUCAUCAAAAUUCGAAGAUGUUAAGAACGUAACAAGAAAGUAACAAGAAAAUUUUUCCUUGAAUUAUACGUGAAGAAAGAUAUAUAAGUGUGUUGUGAAAUAUCUUUCAUAUAUGAAGAAUUGUCGUUAUCCAGGAAAGAUAAACUCCUGGUAUCCUCUUCCGUGUGUCGUACAGCGUGACAGCGCCGCGAGCACCUCUCUCCCUCUGGUCUCGACCUCUGCCAAUCAAUAACCGACAGACAGGCCGACUUGCUCGACGUCGUUCUACUAUUCUCUCUUUUCUCUUCUCUCUCUCUCUCUCUCUCUCGCUCCCUCUACUUUCCUAUCUUUUACAAAAUACCAUACACACACACUCUCUCUCUCUCUCUCUCUCUCUCUCUCUCUCUCUCUCUCUCUUUUUAUCCACAAACCACACGCAUGUGUUUUUCUUCGUUCCCCUAGGCGAACGUUAAGCCAGAAAUUAAUAAAGAAUACGAGUAUCUGGGAAGCAUUAGAAUUAACCUACAGUUUAUAUAGAAGAAUAAAACGGGAAAUAACGGAAGGAAGUAGCUACGACGAAGAAGAAGAACAAGAACAACAACAAAAAGAAGAAAAAGAAGGAGGAAAGAACGAAAGCGAAAGCGAAAGAAAAAGCGAGCGAGCGAGCGAGCGAGCGAGAGAGAGAGAGAGAGAGAGAGAGAGUGACCAAAAGGGCUAAAGAAAUUGAGAGAAAAAUUGAGAGAGAGAGAGAGAGAGAGAGAGAGAAGGGAAAAAGGAACACGAGGGAAAAAAGAUAGAAAGAGAAAAGUAGUGGUGUCGCGAUAGGCCUAGCGUUUAUUCGUUCGCGCCAGCGCCCUGAGCGGCGGCACUUCCUACGACCACGGAAAACCUAUUUUUACUCUGUUAACGGAACGGAGAACUCUCAAAGAAGAGAGAGAGAGAAGAAAGAGAGAAAGAAAGAAAGAAAGAAAGAGAAAGAGAAAGAGAAAGAGAGAGAGAGAGAGAGAGAGAGAAGGAAGCACACGGUGUGCUUCGCCACCCACGCUUUCAUCUACCACGAAAAGAAGAGACCACUAGGCGGCACGAUCCGUCGGUCUGACAGAGGCCGACGGCACCGUCGAAAGCACCGCCAUCGGCGACUCCCUGAACGCCUGGCCGCGCCUAUCGGACACGUAAACGUGUAGCGCGAAAUCUCUACUUCGACUGCUGCGAUAUCAUUUUAAUCGCCAAACUCACCCUUUUAUUUUACUUCGUGUUCCAUCCUAGUGUCUUCGUGAUAUCACACACGCACACUCGCACGCACACACACAAUAUAUAUAUAUAUAUUUUCUUUCCAACUCCAAGGUGAUAGAACACACAUUCUCACUCUCUCACUCUCUCUCUCUCUCUCACUCUCUCACUCUCUCUCUCUUUCUUUCUCUCUCUCUCUCUGUUUCUCUCUUAAUUAUCUAUCUCCGAAGAAGGGGAGAUUCCAGGUCCAGGAUGGAAGAUAAUACAAAUAAUCAAACUCGCGACGAAUUGGUUCGCGAGGUAUAAGGAAAUUCAUCUCUCUUUUUUCCCCCUCUCUUUCUAUCCCUCUCCCUUUCUCUCUCUGUCUGUCUCUCUCUCUCUCUCUCUCUCUCUCUCUCUCUCUUUCUAAAGAGAUUGGAAUACAAAUAAAAGAGAAAAUAUAUAAGGAAGAAUAAUGAUCGGUGUAUGUGUCCAUCAUUGGCAUUUGUUGUUGUUGUUGUUUUCAAUGGUAGCAGCAAUGGUGGUGGUGGUGGUGGUGGGCCAGUGUCGAGCCUGAACAAGACCCGUACGACGGACGCGUGUUUCUUUAAAUGGUGUACGCGUGAGAAGAGAUCUCAUCGUUAAAUAUAGCUGCAAUUUUGUUCAUACAUGUGCUCUAGAAAAACAGCAAAUUAAUAAGGAAACCCAAGUUUGUUGGUACCUGUUUUACUAGCAACAAUAAAAAAACAAACAAACGAAAAGCAUCGUCAACGUCAUCGUUUAGGAACAUGCGGACUUCGGGCGAGGCCCCUAGACGAACGAAGGCCGGCCUCGCCGGUGGACCAGGAUAAAAAGAAGGAAUACCUCAAAAAAAAUCCUUUAAAAAAGCAUCUCGCUAACCCCUAGUUGUUCGCCUACAUAUUCUAUCUGUCGCACUCAUUCACUUAUUUUUCUUUCUCUCUGUAAUUCCAAUCCUGUCUCUUUCUCUCUCUCCCGGUCCUUAAAAAACACCUGCGCAAGCGCCGCAUUACACAUCCUUUAGGAUCUUAAGGACGCGGGAAGCGAGCUCGUCUCGCUCUCGCUCGCAUGGAACAUGAUAGAGAUGUCGAGUGGAAUCAGUGCAACAAUGGGGAUUGGCGUUAGCCACGGAACGGGUGGAAACGACGGUGUAACGAGUGGUUGUCGUCUUCGUGCCCAAAGUCAAAGUCAAGCAUCUUCCUCUCAGCACGCCAAUCCGCAACAAUCGUCUCAGACGACGUCUCAACAAUCGUCUCAGCAUCAAUCGCAACAACAAUCGUCGCAACAAUCCCAACAACAACAGCAACAAUCUCAACAACAACAACAACAACAACAACAACAACAACAGCAACAUCAACUGCAACAAUCUCAACAACAACAAACGCCUACGUCGCAGCAGCAGGCACAGCAACGUCAAGGAACUAGGUUCAUAGGCCGCUCGAAAAAGGACAACUGUUGCCUAUGCUGGUGCUGUUGCUGUAGUUGCUCGUGGAACAAAUGUUUGGCGUCGGUCGGCGGAAAUACGGUUGGUGCUGACGGAACUGGCGAACACGGUAAGAAGAAGGGCAACGUUGGUAUUGACGGUGAACACGUGGGUGGCCUCGGUGGUGAUCACGGUGGCGUUACUGCUGGCAACGGGUUGGACAACUUCGACGGUCUCGAUGGUCCCGACGCUUCCAUGGAAUGCUGUAAUUUCGAAGAAAUUAAAUCUUGGGGUUCUUCAUUCGACAAGCUGAUGAAAAGCGCGGCCGGUAGGAAACUUUUCCGUGAGUUCCUUCGCAGCGAGUACAGCGAGGAAAAUAUUGCAUUUUGGCUCGCAUGCGAGGAACUCAAACGUGAAAGUAAUCCAGAGAAAAUCGAGGAAAAGGCAAGAUUCAUCUACGAGGAUUACAUAUCCAUACUUUCACCGAAAGAAGUGAGUCUAGAUUCGCGAGUACGCGAGAUCGUUAAUCGCAACAUGGUGGAACCAACCCCGCAUACCUUCGACGAGGCACAGUUACAAAUCUACACGCUGAUGCAUCGGGACUCUUAUCCGCGAUUCGUCAACAGUGCGAUUUAUCGACGAGUAGCGAGGCUUAGUAGCGGUCCACCGAGUCCAACGAGUGGUUCCGAACAAGAGCACACAGGUGGAAAGUCGAAAGGCAAAAAAGGGACGACGUAAUCGCGAUCACGGCCGAUCAGCCGAUUUUGGACGUCGUACCCUCAGCCAAAAGUGGAGAUAUCAACGAGAUCGUGUGGUCUCCUCUUAUUUCGGCUUCUUCCAAUGAGCUGUAAACAGAUGGAAGAAGUCUGACAAUGACAUCACAAAUAGAGAAAGAAAAAAGAUAUGGAAAGAAAGAAAGAAAUCAAGAGAGAGAGAGAGAGAAAGAGAGAGAGAAAAAAAAGAUACGUCGAAUUAACACCGAUACGUUUCUCAAAGUAUCUUUUAAUCUCGUAGCUAAUCGGCUCGAAACUCGGAAAGAUACUAUCGAAAAUGAAUAAAAAAUGAAACGAAGGAAAAAAAUGGGGCCCAUCUUCUCCGGGAUGUCUCUCUCUCUCUCUCUCUCUCAUUCUCUCUUUUUCUUUCUCUCUCUCUCUCUCCUUGUGUCUGUCUCUUUAAAAAUCUUUCGCGGACGAUGCGCGCACAGUUGUCACUGCCUUGGAAACAAUUGCGAUAUGUAUGCGACGGAGCUCACGAUUGCACGUCGAAUCUUAAAUACAACUCGAAGGUAACUAAAAAGUAUUUUGAUUAAGGAGUCCAAGAGUUAAAUGAGUUUGGUAUUUACCAUGAUGGAAACGCUACGAAUUCGUGAUUUUUCUUCGAAAAAUUGGAGUACCAUCGAGUAGUAACGUUAAUUUCGUUCAUAAGCGUUUUACGAUUCAAGUACCAACUAAAGAGAAAUAAGGGUGGACGAAAUAGACGUAAUCGAUGAUAGGAAAAUCAACGGAAUGGGGAUUGAGAGAAGAGAGAGACAAAUUUUGGAAAAAGUGUUGUACGCGAGAUGAGGAUUAAGAAAAAAAAAAACAAAAAGAGAAGAAGAAAAUAAUAAGAUAAUAGAAAAUUCUUAUCGCAAGAUAUCGGUGCAACCAACUUUUAUUCUAGUCAACAGUUCACGAGAAGAAUUGUCAUAUUCGGCUAUUUACUUGCCGACGAGAUACCGAUCGAAGAAAAUACUUGUCAUCCAUUACCAAAUAAAUCAAUUCUAGUCAUAUUCGUCUAUAAGAAUCGUCAUGCGCGUAGAGACAUGAAAUCGUAACAGAGCUCGUUCGAGAUCUUCUGAGGGCUUAGAACAAAUUGAAAAAGAAGAAGAAGAAGAAGAAGAAGAAGAAGAAAGGCCUAAAACGCAAGAAAAUUUUCUCGAUGUGCGUGAAUCGAAACAUUGAAACCCGAUCGUGAUUCGACAAAAAUAAGAAGAAAAAAAAUGCUAAGGGCCGAUUUUAAAUGCAUACAAAAAUACGCACGGUCAAAUCAACAUUUUAUGCGACUUUAUAUAAAUAUAUAAGUGUGCGUACGUGUGUGUGCAUACAUUGUAUAUGUACAUAUAUAUAUGCAUAUAUUUAUAUAUCUAUACAGGGUGUCUCAUAUGAAUGAAUACGAUAAAAUAUGGCAUGAUGUAUAUGUAUAUGUAUGUAUGUAUGUAUGUAUGUAUGUAUGUACAUAUCUCGAUUACGCGUGCAAGCAUGUUUCAUUUCUUCGUAGAAACGAUUUCUUUGAAAUCCGAUUAUUCACCGAACCUCACGCGAUCCGUAACUUUUGAAUUAAACUUUUUUUCGCCAAAAAAAAGAAAAAAAAGAAAACGUCCAUUUUCUAAACUUUUACUUAAGCUUUUUCUACCAAUGAUUUUUCUAUCAAAGCUUUACCGAAGAAAAAAAAAAGCUACAUAUCAUUUUGUUCUGUGAUAAAAAUCAAACGCACGAGCUGGUUGGAUUCAAAUGAGAUCGUUUCUAAUGAAAAGAAAAGAGGGCUAAAGUAGAGAAGAAAAAGAAAUAGAAGAAGAAGAAGAAAAAGUAAAAGUAAAACAAAAAAGACAGACACUCUCUCUAGUCGUAAAGUACGCUUACGGGCGUAUAGGAUAUAUAGACACAUCAUAACACACUAUUCACAUACAUACAUACGUACCUAUAUACUUACUACACUUCAUACCUUACCCACUUAGCUCUCCUACCUACGUCAAAAUCGUAAAUACAUAGGAAGGAACGAAGGAAAGAAACGUCGUGUGUUAUCUAACGUGAAAUCGAUGAUAAAUGUGAAAAUAUAAUUAUUAUAAAUGAAGGACGCGCGUAAGGUGUACACACACACACACACAUACACACACACAGACUCGGGCAAAUCUCGCAGUCAGUCACAGUGUUUGACUAUUGUGAUCUGUAGAUAAUUAUCGUAGAUAGGUACAAUGAUUAAUAUCGCUAAUGAAAUAUAAAUGAGAAUGAUUCUAAACGUAUUAUACUUGCGCUAAAGCGUAUAAUGAAAUCAUUCGGGUGACAUAUAAGAACAAUCUUUUUCAUUCUCGAUAUAAAAAAAAAAAACGUAUACAUCCAUAGGUAUGUAUUUACUUAAGUAAGUACUUAUUUAAAUACUUACUUACGUUUCUUUUUGAUGAGAGAAAAA
rnacentral:misc_RNA from 1 species